CACACACACACACACACACACACACACACACACACACACACACACACACACACACACACAGAGAGAGGGGAUGUCGGGCUUCCCGUUUAAAGUGUGUGUUUGCCUCAUUGAGAAAAGCGAGCAGAGCCCAGAGCUCAUUCACGCAGUACAGUACACAGUGGCUGAACUUCAGUCUAAUAACACGGACCUACCGAGCGCGAGCCAGAAAACUCUUAGCGUGAGAAAGGUUAUUCCAGCCCUGUUGUCUGAGCUAGUCGCCGUGAUGAGGGAGAGAGAGCUUGGAGAGAUAGAGGGAGAGAGAGGGAGGGGAGCCUGAGCCAACAGAUGACAGGAGUUCUCUCUUUUAUACCACAAAUAUUUACUGCUCAUGAUUUGAUUUUUUUUUUAUGUUUUAUUCAUAUCACCAAUCAUUUCUCAUUUCACAUAAUCUAUCAAUGUACAGCAUUGUACAGAAUUGUUAUUAGUUUAUAUAACACUUUUUUUCUGUAAUUCAUUAUGGAUUCUUAAGUUAUUUAUUAUUGCUAAAUUCUUGAUUUGUUUUUUAAGACACACCGCCAGAUUAAGCACCGAGUGCUGAUCCAGUACGACUCUCACGCAUACACUGCUGAACGUUACUCUGGACCCUGAUCCUAAACUGCUUUUAUGUCUUAAAGUCUUUCAUUUCUUUAUCGGUUUCACUUAACGACACUUAUAUUCAAAAAGCUUAUUCAUGCAUGAACAUGAAACAUGUUCAAAUUGCACUGGAGUAACAGCGAACAAUUCAUUUCAUCUCAUGUCACCCGACAACAUGACGAGGUGGAGAGAAAUCAAAAUAAUAUUCCAAACUAAAACCGCUUACUGUCCUUCCAUCUUCCUAAGGAAACAGGAAUAUUAAUUUUAACCAUUACUGUAUGCAAGUUUCUAAAUCACAAUAUAAAAUUUUCCUACAGGAUUUUUUUAAACAUCAAGCACUGGAUUUUUUUCUCUAAAGGCACACAAAGUCUGGGGAGUGUGUUUAUGGCCAUGCUUUCGAACAUCCCGGAUGAGCGCAAUACUACAGAAACUGUCUUAACAUAUCAGGCGUAUGAUAAUCCAUUGCAAUGAACUACAGCUCUUAUUCUAUGUGCAGCAGACCUUUUAUUUUUUUUUU